CCCGGCUAUGGUAGGAUAUAUGUUGCUCAUUGUUUAGUUCCCUUGUAGAAUUACAGACUCUUUUUCUUCUUUCUUUGUUAUAUUUUUUUUGGGGGGGGGGGGAUUUUCUCACUUCAGAUUUCAGUAUUUACUUUCUUUCUCAAAUCAAUAAUCUUACUUUUCGUUCUCUUAUAGAACUGUGUUUGUAUUCUACUAUAUAGAACAAUAUUUAAGUCAAAAUAUAUUAUUAACUAGUAACAUAAACGGUAUACUCACGUUUGUGAUGGAUUACAAUUGUAUCUAAUUUAUCGAUAUGGUUC
rnacentral:lncRNA from 1 species